rnacentral:rRNA from 1 species
ACCCAUGUCUUUUGAGUACCUUCGUUUCCUCGGCGGGUUCGCCCGCCGAUUGGACAAAACUUAAACCCUUUGUAAUUGAAAUCAGCGUCUGAAAAAAACAUAAUAGUUACAACUUUCAACAACGGAUCUCUUGGUUCUGGCAUCGAUGAAGAACGCAGCGAAAUGCGAUAAGUAGUGUGAAUUGCAGAAUUCAGUGAAUCAUCGAAUCUUUGAACGCACAUUGCGCCCCUUGGUAUUCCAUGGGGCAUGCCUGUUCGAGCGUCAUUUGUACCUUCAAGCUCUGCUUGGUGUUGGGUGUUUGUCUCGCCUCUGCGCGCAGACUCGCCUCAAAACGAUUGGCAGCCGGCGUAUUGAUUUCGGAGCGCAGUACAUCUCGCGCUUUGCACUCACAACGACGACGUCCAAAAAGUACAUUUUUACACUCUUGACCUCGGAUCAGGUAGGGAUACCCGCUGAACUUAAGCAUAUCAAUAA